rnacentral:rRNA from 1 species
CGCGUUAAGUAUCCCACCUGGGGACUACGGCCGCAAGGCUAAAACUCAAAGGAAUUGACGGGGGCCCGCACAAGCAGCGAGGUAUGUGGUUUAAUUCGACGCUACACGAAGAACCUUACCUGGGCUUGACAUGCUUGAGAAAGGACCAAGAAACUGGUCCCCCCAUGACCGCAAGGUCAUGGCUCAUCCACAGGUGCUGCAUGGUUGUCGUCAGCUCGUGUCGUGAGAUGUAAGGUUAAGUCCUUGAACGAGCGCAACCCCUUUCGUCAGUUGCAAACCAGCAAUGGCGCACCCUGACGAUACUGCCAGCUAAAAGUUGGAGGAAGGAGGGGAUGACGUCAAAUCCUCAUGGCCUUUAUGUCCAGGGCUACACACAUGCGACAAUGGUCGGUACAACGGGUUGCAACACCGCGAGGUGAAGCCAAUCCCUAAAAACCGGCCUCAGUUCAGAUUGCAGACUGCAAUUCGUCUACAUGAAGAUGGAGUUGCUAGUAACCGCGGGUCAGCGAUACCGCGGUGAAUAUGUUCCCGGGCCUUGUACACACCGCCCGUCAAACCACCCGAGUCUGUUGCACCCGAAGUUGCCCGCUGGGUGACGAAGGUGUGACCGGUGAGGAGGGUUAAGUCGUAACAAGGUAACC